UCCCUGGUGGCUCAGUGGUAAAGAAUCUGCUUGCCAAUGCAGGAGACAUAGGUUCAAUCUCCCAUCUGGGGAG
rfam:Ovis aries breed Texel chromosome 16, whole genome shotgun sequence.